rnacentral:rRNA from 1 species
GACGAACGCUGGCGGCGCGCCUAACACAUGCAAGUCGAACGAGCGAGAGAGAGCUUGCUUUCUCGAGCGAGUGGCGAACGGGUGAGUAACGCGUGAGGAACCUGCCUCAAAGAGGGGGACAACAGUUGGAAACGACUGCUAAUACCGCAUAAGCCCACGACCCGGCAUCGGGUAGAGGGAAAAGGAGCAAUCCGCUUUGAGAUGGCCUCGCGUCCGAUUAGCUAGUUGGUGAGGUAACGGCCCACCAAGGCGACGAUCGGUAGCCGGACUGAGAGGUUGAACGGCCACAUUGGGACUGCGACACGGCCCAGACUCCUACGGGAGGCAGCAGUGGGGAAUAUUGCACAAUGGGGGAAACCCUGAUGCAGCGACGCCGCGUGGAGGAAGAAGGUCUUCGGAUUGUAAACUCCUGUUGUUGAGGAAGAUAAUGACGGUACUCAACAAGGAAGUGACGGCUAACUACGUG